AAAAUAGGCCAGAAAUCACUGAUGUUGGCAAACAACUUAGACAGAUUUAUCAAUCCCUAAUUUCACUUGGGAUGCAAACGCACUGAAGGGCAAGCCUUGCAUAAGCUUUGAGUUGCUGCUCUUUCCCAGACCAUGUCCCCUCUUCAAUAAUUAUAGGGUCCAUAAGCUUGUCUAACUUUUCAUUUUCUUCCAUACAUUUCUCGAAAAACUUCACAACAGGCAAAUCUUGGUCAUUAUCCGGUGGAUCGUACGGAGCUUUUCCAGUCAAAAGCUCUAGCAGAAGUACACCAAAACCAAAAACAUCAGCCUUCUCAUUAAACUUACCUU
rnacentral:misc_RNA from 1 species